rnacentral:rRNA from 1 species
AGAGUUGAUUGGCUCAGGAUGAACGCUAGCGACAGGCUAACACAUGCAAGUCGAGGGGCAGCACGGGAGUAGCAAUACAACUGGUGGCGACCGGCGCGACGGGUGAGUAACGCGUAUGCAACCUACCUAUCAGAGGGGAAUAACCCGGCGAAAGUCGGACUAAUACCGCAUAAAACAGGGGCACCGCAUGGUGAUAUUUGUUAAAGAGAUUCGCUGAUAGAUGGGCAUGCGUUCCAUUAGGUAGUUGGUGAGGUAACGGCUCACCAAGCCGACGAUGGAUAGGGGAACUGAGAGGUUGGUCCCCCACACUGGUACUGAGACACGGACCAGACUCCUACGGGAGGCAGCAGUGAGGAAUAUUGGUCAAUGGGCGGGAGCCUGAACCAGCCAAGUCGCGUGAAGGAAGAAGGAUCUAUGGUUCGUAAACUUCUUUGCAGGGGAAUAAAGUGCAGGACGUGUCCUGUUUUGUAUGUACCCUGAGAAUAAGGAUCGGCUAACUCCGUGCCAGCCGCCGC